rnacentral:sRNA from 1 species
ACCUAGGGUGGGGUCCGCGGGUGUGUGCGGAGUGUUCAUGGAGGUGCUGCUGAGGGAGCAUGAGACCGGAACUUCCGCCAGAGUUAGCCCGCUGGGGAGUUAGGGCAGGGAUUUUGGAGGGCAGAGGGUAGAGCAGUGGUGUCUUCCCCUGGCGGUGGUGACACAAAAGGGCCUGUGUGCCCCAGCCUGGCACAUGCUUUGCAUUCCCACACUCUGAGCUCACCCGGAGAGGAGGGGGCCUGGAAGGAAAGGGGCCUUCCUCUUGGCCCCGAGCCUAGGUUGCCCCUUUCUGCCCCUCUACCAGCCUCAGCUGGAGCUGUUCGGUGCUCAGUCUCUGCUCAAUCUCUGCUCGGCUCCAAGGACCUGGGAUCUCCUGGACGGGGAGAGGGCUGGCCCAGGUGUGCCCGGAGAGGCUGAGCAGCCUGCGCCUGAGCUGGUGGAGGUGGAAGUGGGCAGCACAGCCCUUCUGAAGUGCGGCCUCUCCCAGUCCCAAGGCAACCUCAGCCAUGUCGACUGGUUUUCUGUCCACAAGGAGAAGCGGACGCUCAUCUUCCGUGUGCGCCAGGGCCAGGGC